rnacentral:lncRNA from 1 species
CUCGAGGGCCUGACACGGGGCUGGCAUGGAAGAGGUGCUUGGUAAGUGAUUACCAAACACAGGACCACUGGUGAGGUACUGCUGCCCCGGAUCCUCCUGCCACAGCCGCUGCUGGCUCAUCUUCCCAUCAUGUCCAAAGCCUUCUGCCUGCAAAGAUUCAUCGAGCCUAAGAGUUCCCGUUGUGGCACAAUGGAAACGAAUCCAACUAGGAACCAUGAGGUUGCGGGUUUGAUCCCUGGCCUUGCUCAGUGGGUUAAGGAUCUGGCGUUGCCAUGAGCUGUGGUGUGGGUCACAGACGCAGCUCGGAUCGCUGCUGUGGUUCUGGCGUAGGCCAGUGGCUACAGCUCUGAUUCGACCCCUAGCCUGGGAACCUCCAUAUGCCACAGGAGCAGCCCUAAAAAGACAAAAAAAAAAAAAAAAAAAAAAGAUUCAUCGAGCCCCUGCUUGGUACCCUGUGCUGGCCCCAGGGGCAGAGAGGCAGUGUAGUCCACGCCCACAGGAGCUUUUGGUCUGGGUGGGAAGUGUGGUACCCUGAGGCCACUGAGAGCCCUGUGAUGCUGCAUGUGGAACCUGGGACAACAACCACUCUUCUGUCUUUUCCUGACCUUGCAGAGUCACCUGCCAGAGGAACUCCACAGGGUCUCCUGCCCACUUUGCAAAUGGGGAAGCGAGCCGGGAGAGGUCAAGUGAGUCACCUGCCGUCCCCCAGGUCACUACGGACCCUGAAGUCCAGGCUACAGCCUCCCAUGCAAAUGCUUUUCAAGAAGGCAGGGGUGCCUCCCACUCCAGGACACCCCAAGAAUGCAGUCAGUAUUGCUAUUUAAGCACAGUCCAGGCUCAAGGUGCUGUGCUGGGGGCAGCCCGUGAUCCACGAGAAACACCCGUCUUGCCUCAGGCCGGCCGGAGGGGGCGGGGGGGGGUGGGGGGAGGCGGGGAUGAGCCCAUGUGGCUGCAUGUUAACCAAGAAUGCGAGGGAAAUGCCCAGUGGUUCAGACCAGGAAGAUAGUUUGCAAAAUUUUCACAAGAAAAUGCCCCCAGGGGAGAUUUAGUUAGAAAAGCAGCUCCCAGGGAGAUCCCUGGGGUCUCCUCAUUUCCCAGCCCUGACAACCCCCGCCUGCAACCCUGACUUCGCUGACGAGCCCGUAGCUGAAAAAGCGCAGAAUCAACAAAAUUAGAUGAUGUUGACAUCCCUGUGUCGGGCUUUCUCCUAGACCCGCGCUCUGCUGGCAGGAUGGGGGUGCUGUCCUGCCCAGGGCCCCCAGGGGCACCUGACUGUCACCAAGAAUCAAGGUGGGUGUGCAUGUGUGACGAAUGCACGCCUUCUUCUUUCUAAGGUUUUUCCAUUGCAGAGGUUGACCUCAAAAGGAGUAUCUCCUGGAGUCCCUGUUGUGACACAGUGGAAACGAAUCUCACUAGUAUCCAUGAGGAUGUGGGUUCGAUCCCUGGCUGCAAUCAGUGGGUUAAGGAUCUGGCAUUGCAGUGAGCUGUGGUGUAGGCCAGCAGCUGCAGCUCCAAUUCGACCCCUAGCCUGAGAACUUCCAUAUGCCACAGGUACGGCCCUAAAAAGUGGGGGGAAAAAAGAGUAUCUCCUUAAACUUUUGCUGUUCUUAUAGUAAGCUUUUGCUGAAAUCUGUUUCCUAUAUGUUACGUAUACAUAUAACAGAAAAGGAUGCAAAUCAUAAACCCAGUCAAUUUUCAUUAAAUUGUCUGGAAGGAAGAAAAGCUUACACUUCUAGGUUCUGCUGGCUGGUCUAAGAAUUAAAUUUACAUGAGGAUUAACAGGAGAAAAUCGCAUUAAAAAAAUUUUUUUUUUUUUUAUCUUUU